rnacentral:rRNA from 1 species
GAUGAACGCUAGCUACAGGCUUAACACAUGCAAGUCGAGGGACUGGCGCACGGGUGAGUAAAACGUAUCCAACCUGCCCUUUACUCGGGGAUAGCCUUUCGAAAGAAGGAUUAAUACCAGAUAUAAAGGAUGGGGAUGCGUUCGAGUAGGUUGUUGGUGAGGUAACGGCUCACAAAGCCUUCGAUGGAUAGGGGUUCUGAGAGGAAGGUCCCCCACAUUGGAACUGAGACACUGUCCAAACUCCUACGGGAGGCAGCAGUGAGGUUUAUUGGUCAAUGGGCGCUAGCCUGAACCUGCCAAGUAUCGUUACGGAACACGGCUUGUGGUAGGUAACCUUCUCGUAUAUAACAGUCUGUAUUUUAUGCAUCAGGAUCGGGUAACUCCGUGCCAGCAGCCGCGGUAAUAC